rnacentral:rRNA from 1 species
AACGAACGCUGGCGGCAUGCCUAACACAUGCAAGUCGAACGAGACCUUCUGGUCUAGUUGCGCACGGGUGCGUAACGCGUUGGAACCUGCCCUUAGGUUCGGAAUAACUCCCCGAAAGGGGUUCUAAUACCGGAUAAUGUCUUCGGACCAAAGAUUUAUCGCCUUUGGAUGGGCCCGCGUUGGAUUAGCUAGUUGGUAGGGUAAAAGCCUACCAAGGCGAAGAUCCAUAGCUGGUCUGAGAGGAUGAUCAGCCACACUGGGACUGAGACACGGCCCAGACUCCUACGGGAGGGAGGAGUGGGGAAUAUUGGACAAUGGGCGAAAGCCUGAUCCAGCAAUGCCGCGUGAGUGAUGAAGGCAUUAGGGUUGUAAAGCUCUUUUACCAGGGAUGAUAAUGACAGUACCGGGAGAAUAAGCUCCGGCUAACUCCGUG